GCUAAUACCGCAUACGUCCUACGGGAGAAAGCAGGGGACCUUCGGGCCUUGCGCUAUCAGAUGAGCCUAGGUCGGAUUAGCUAGUAGGUGGGGUAAUGGCCCACCUAGGCGACGAUCCGUAACUGGUCUGAGAGGAUGAUCAGUCACACUGGAACUGAGACACGGUCCAGACUCCUACGGGAGGCAGCAGUGGGGAAUAUUGGACAAUGGGCGAAAGCCUGAUCCAGCCAUGCCGCGUGUGUGAAGAAGGUCUUCGGAUUGUAAAGCACUUUAAGUUG
rnacentral:rRNA from 1 species